AGCAGCCGCGGUAAUUCCAGCUCCAAUAGCGUAUAUUAAAGUUGUUGCAGUUAAAAAGCUCGUAGUUGAAUUUCGGGGUUAGUAGGUUGGUCAUGCCUCUGGUAUGUACUGGUCUCACUGAUUCCUCCUUCCUUAUGAACCGUAAUGCCAUUAAUUUGGUGUUGCGGGGAAUUUGGACUGUUACUUUGAAAAAAUUAGAGUGUUUAAAGCAAGCUAACGCUUGAAUACAUUAGCAUGGAAUAAUGAAAUGGGACGUUCGAUCUUAUUUUGUUGGUUUCUAGGAUUGACGUAAUGAUUAAUAGGGAUAGUUGGGGGCAUUAGUAUUCAAUUGUCAGAGGUGAAAUUCUUGGAUUUAUUGAAGACUAACUACUGCGAAAGCAUUUGCCAAGGAUGUUUUCAUUAAUCAAGAACGAAAGUUAGGGGAUCGAAGACGAUCAGAUACCGUCGUAGUCUUAACCAUAAACUAUGCCGACUAGGGAUCGGAUGAUGUAAUUUUUAAUGACUCAUUCGGCGCCUUACG
rnacentral:rRNA from 1 species